rnacentral:rRNA from 1 species
GAUGAACGCUGGCGGUGUGCCUAACACAUGCAAGUCGAACGGGCCGAGAGCAAUCGAGGGAUCAGUGGCGAACGGGUGAGUAACACGUAAGCAACUUACCCCAGGACCGGUACAACCUCGCGAAAGGUGGCUAAUUCCGGAUGAUAUUGCAAGAUUUUACGUUUUGCAAUUAAACCCCGCAAGGNCCAGGGGAUGGGCUUGCGGCCUAUCAGCUAGUUGGGGGGUAAAUGCCCACCAAGGCUAUGACGGGUAGCUGGUCUGAGAGGACGACCAGUCACAUGGAACUGAGAUACGGUCCAUACUCCUACGGGAGGCAGCAGUGAGGAAUUUUCCACAAUAGCGAAAGCUUGAUGGAGCGACACCGUGUGUGCGAUGAAGUCUUUCGGGAUGUAAAGCAUGUCAGGGGGGACGAUAUUGACUGUACCCCCAGAGGAAGCCACGGCUAACUACGUGCCACAGCCGCGGUAAUACGUAGGUGGCGAGCGUUAUCCGGAAUCAUUGGGCGUAAAGCGCAUUAGGUGGUUUGACAAGUCAAAUGUUAAAGGCUCCGGCUCAACCGGAGUAUGCAUCCGAUCUGUCAAACUAGAGAGGGUUAAAGGGAAGCGGAACUUCCGGUGUAGCGGUGAAAUGCGUGAUAUC